GAUGAACGCUAGCUACAGGCUUAACACAUGCAAGUCGAGGGGCAGCAUGAACUUAGCUUGCUCAGUUUUAUGGCGACCGGCGCACGGGUGAGUAACACGUAUCCAACCUGCCGAUGACUCGGGGAUAGCCUUUCGAAAGAAAGAUUAAUACCCGAUGGCAUAGUUCUUCCGCAUGGUAGAACUAUUAAAGAAUUUCGGUCAUCGAUGGGGAUGCGUUCCAUUAGGUUGUUGGCGGGGUAACGGCCCACCAAGCCUUCGAUGGAUAGGGGUUCUGAGAGGAAGGUCCCCCAGAUUGGAACUGAGACACGGACCAAACUCCGAGGGGAGGCAGCAGUGAGGAAUAUUAGUCGAUGGACGAGGGUCUGAACCAGCCAAGUAGCGUGAAGGAUGACUGCGCUAUGGGAUGUAAACUUGUUUUAUACGGGAAUGAAGUGAGGCACGUGUGCCUUUUUGUAUGUACCGUAUGAAUAAGGAUCGGCUAACUCCGUG
rnacentral:rRNA from 1 species